rnacentral:rRNA from 1 species
CACGUAGGGGGCAAGCGUUGUCCGGAAUUAUUGGGCGUAAAGAGCUCGUAGGCGGCUCGGUAAGUCAGGUGUCAAAUCCUCAGGCUCAACCUGGGGCUCCACCUGAUACUGCUGUGGCUAGAGUCCGGUAGGGGAGCGUGGAAUUCCUGGUGUAGCGGUGAAAUGCGCAGAUAUCAGGAGGAACACCAGCGGCGAAGGCGGCGCUCUGGGCCGGAAUUGACGCUGAGGAGCGAAAGCGUGGGUAGCAAACAGG